rnacentral:rRNA from 1 species
GACGAACGCUGGCGGCGUGCUUAACACAUGCAAGUCGAACGAAGUGGCGAACGGGUGAGUAACGCGUAAUCAACCUGCCCUUCAGAGGGGGACAACAGUUGAAAACGACUGCUAAUCCCGCAUACUGAAGGAGGGGAUGGCGUGUGAUUAGCUAGUGGGGGGGGUAACGGCCCACCAGGGCGAUGAUAAGUAGCGGGUCUGAGAGGAUGAACAGCAACAUUGGGACUGAGACACGGCCCAGACUCCUACGGGAGGCAGCAGUGGGGAAUCUUCCGCAAUGGACGAAAGUCUGACGGAGCAACGCCGCGUGAGUGAUGACGGCCUUCGGGUUGUAAAGCUCUGUUAGUCGGGACGCGGUACCGGAAUAGAAAGCCACGGCUAACUACGUGCCAGCAGCCGCGGUAAUA